rnacentral:lncRNA from 1 species
CCGGUGGUCCGCCGGUUAUGCGUCCACCGCCUGGUCAGAUGCCAUAUCCCGGUAUGCCAGGUGGUCCUCCGAGACCAGGUGGUCCGCCACCGCAAUUUGCUCCUCCGAGACCUGGUGGUCCUCCUCCGCCACAAUUUUCCAUGCCGCCUCCUCAGUUUGGACAGAGACCUAUGGGCCCACCUCCUCCUGGACAGAUGAUGAGAGGACCUCCUCCUCAUCCUGGAAUGCAGGGACCGCCUCGUCCCGGAAUGCCUCCUCCUCCUGGAAGUGGUGUUCCUGUCUUUGGUCCGCCUCGUCCCGGCAUGCCCCCUC